GUGUCAGCCGCCGCGGUAAUACGUAGGUCCCGAGCGUUGUCCGGAUUUAUUGGGCGUAAAGCGAGCGCAGGCGGUUUGAUAAGUCUGAAGUUAAAGGCUGUGGCUCAACCAUUGUAUGCAUUGGAAACUGGUAGACUUGAGUGCAGGAGAGGAGAGUGGAAUUCCAUGUGUAGCGGUGAAAUGCGUAGAUAUAUGGAGGAACACCGGUGGCGAAAGCGGCUCUCUGGCCUGUAACUGACACUGAGGCUCGAAAGCGUGGGGAGCGAACAGGAUUAGAUACCCUGGUAGUCCACGCCGUAAACGAUGAGUGCUAGGUGUUGGAUCCUUUCCGGGAUUCAGUGCCGCAGCUAACGCAUUAAGCACUCCGCCUGGGGAGUACGACCGCAAGGUUGAAACUUAAAGAAAUUGGCGG
rnacentral:rRNA from 1 species